rnacentral:rRNA from 1 species
GAGUUUGAUCGUGGCUCAGAUUGAACGCUGGCGGCAGGCCUAACACAUGCAAGUCGAGCGGAUGAAGGGAGCUUGCUCCUGGAUUCAGCGGCGGACGGGUGAGUAAUGCCUAGGAAUCUGCCUGGUAGUGGGGGAUAACGUCCGGAAACGGGCGCUAAUACCGCAUACGUCCUGAGGGAGAAAGUGGGGGAUCUUCGGACCUCACGCUAUCAGGUGAGCCUAGGUCGGAUUAGCUAGUUGGUGGGGUAAAGGCCUACCAAGGCGACGAUCCGUAACUGGUCUGAGAGGAUGAUCAGUCACACUGGAACUGAGACACGGUCCAGACUCCUACGGGAGGCAGCAGUGGGGAAUAUUGGACAAUGGGCGAAAGGCCUGAUCCAGCCAUGCCGCGUGUGUGAAGAAGGUCUUCGGAUUGUAAAGCACUUUAAGUUGGGAGGAAGGGCAGUAAGUUAAUACCUUGCUGUUUGACGUUACCAACAGAAUAAGCACCGGCUAACUUCGUGCCAGCAGCCGCCGUAACACC